CGGCUGGAAUUCUGCAAUAUAUCUUUCGUCGUAGAGAUGAAAACUUUGUGACGAAAAGUUUAUGCAGCAAUAUAGGAACAAUUUUUUUUUUUUUGAUUUUCGAAUAAGGAUAACUAAAUUGCAGCAGCAAUAAGGUAGGAAACCAGUGUUAGGAUCAAGAGCACUAAGAGGGGGGGGGGGGGGGGGAAUUAGUGUAGCAGAAAACUUUCGACAAUUAAAAUCGUGUUCGUACGAUAAGAGCGAUUUCGGUAGAAAAUCUUAUUCAUAAAUCACUUUAAC
rnacentral:lncRNA from 1 species